UACGUAGGGGGCAAGCGUUGUCCGGAAUCAUUGGGCGUAAAGCGCGUGUAGGCGGCUCGAUAAGUCUGCUGUGAAAGUCCAGGGCUCAACCCUGGAAUGCCGGUGGAAACUGUCGAGCUAGAGUCCGGAAGAGGCGAGUGGAAUUCCUGGUGUAGCGGUGAAAUGCGCAGAUAUCAGGAGGAACACCAGCAGCGAAGGCGGUGGUCUGGGCCGACUUGACGCUGAGGAGCGAAAGCGU
rnacentral:rRNA from 1 species